rnacentral:rRNA from 1 species
GACAGAGGGUGCAAACGUUGUUCGGAAUUACUGGGCGUAAAGCGCGUGUAGGCGGCCCGAUAAGUCCGCUGUGAAAGUCCAGGGCUCAACCCUGGGAUGCCGGUGGAUACUGUCGGGCUCGAGUCCGGAAGAGGCGAGUGGAAUUCCUGGUGUAGCGGUGAAAUUCGUAGAUAUUCGGAAGAACACCAGUGGCGAAGGCGGCCCGCUGGACAUGUAUUGACGCUGAGGUGCGAAAGCGUGGGGAGCAAACAGG